rnacentral:rRNA from 1 species
CGAACGAAGCACCUGAGAAUGAUUCUUCGGAUGAAGUCUCUUGUGACUGAGUGGCGGACGGGUGAGUAACGCGUGGGUAACCUGCCUCACACAGGGGGAUAACAGUUGGAAACGACCGCUAAUACCGCAUAACCCGCUGGUGCCGCAUGGCACUGACGGAAAAGAUUUAUCGGUGUGAGAUGGACCCGCGUCUGAUUAGCCAGUUGGCAGGGUAACGGCCUACCAAAGCGACGAUCAGUAGCCGGCCUGAGAGGGUGAACGGCCACAUUGGGACUGAGACACGGCCCAGACUCCUGCGGGAGGCAGCAGUGGGGAAUAUUGCACAAUGGGGGAAACCCUGAUGCAGCGACGCCGCGUGAGUGAAGAAGUAUUUCGGUAUGUAAAGCUCUAUCAGCAGGGAAGAAAAUGACGGUACCUGAUUAAGAAGCCCCGGCUAACUACGUGCCAGCAGCCGCGGUAAUACGUAGGGGGCAAGCGUUAUCCGGAUUUACUGGGUGUAAAGGGAGCGUAGACGGUGAUGCAAGUCAGAAGUGAAAGCCCGGGGCUCAACUCCGGGACUGCUUUUGAAACUGUGUGACUGGAGUGCAGGAGAGGUCCGCGGAAUUCCUGGUGUAGCGGUGAAACGCGGGCCUCUCAGGGGGAACACCCAAUGGCCGAAGGCGCUUACUGGGACUGUAACUGACCUUGAGGCUCGAAAGCGGGGGGGGCUUCUUUAUGGGNAGANACCNAGGNAGUCCACACCGGAGGGGCCCCCUUAUAUGGUUGUCGGGGAGCAAAGCUCUUCGGGGCCGCAGCAAACGCAUUAAAUAUUCCACCUGGGGAGUACGUUCGCAAGAAUGAAACUCAAAGGAAUUGACGGGGACCCGCACAAGCGGUGGAGCAUGUGGUUUAAUUCGAAGCAACGCGAAGAACCUUACCAGGUCUUGACAUCCCUCUGACCGGGAUUUAAUCAUCCCUUUCCUUCGGGACAGAGGAGACAGGUGGUGCAUGGUUGUCGUCAGCUCGUGUCGUGAGAUGUUGGGUUAAGUCCCGCAACGAGCGCAACCCUUACCUUCAGUAGCCAGCGGUUCGGCCGGGCACUCUGGAGGGACUGCCAGGGACAACCUGGAGGAAGGUGGGGAUGACGUCAAAUCAUCAUGCCCCUUAUGAUCUGGGCUACACACGUGCUACAAUGGCGUAAACAAAGGGAAGCGAGACAGUGAUGGCAAGCAAAUCUCAGAAAUAACGUCUCAGUUCGGAUUGCAGUCUGCAACUCGACUGCAUGAAGCUGGAAUCGCUAGUAAU